rnacentral:snoRNA from 1 species
GGGAGAUGAUGAUGAAAUUUUUGGUCCGUGUUUCUGAUCAUUCGGUGACUGAGACUCUAUUACCAAUCUCUGAUCCC